GUAAAGCUCUGUGGAGAGGGACGAAUAAGUCGUCGCGAACAGCGACGAUGAUGACGGUACCUCUUUAGCAAGCACCGGCUAACUCUGUGCCAGCAGCCGCGGUAAGACAGAGGGUGCAAACGUUGUUCGGAAUUACUGGGCGUAAAGCGCGUGUAGGCUGCUCUGCAAGUCGGAUGUGAAAGCCCUGGGCUCAACCUAGGAAGUGCACUCGAAACUGCGGAGCUCGAGUCUCGGAGAGGAUCGCGGAAAUUCUCGGUGUAGAGGGUGAAAUUCGUAGAUAUCGAGAGGAACACCGGUGGCGAAGGCGGCGAUCUGGACGAUGACUGACGCUGAGACGCGAAAGCGGUGGGGAGACAAACAGGAUUAGAUACCCUGGUAGUCCACGCCGUAAACGAUGGGUGCUAGGUGUCGAGGGGCUUUCGACCCCUCUGGUGCCGUAGCUAACGCAAUUAAGCCACCCCGCCGUGGGGAGUACGGCCGCAAGGACU
rnacentral:rRNA from 1 species